UUCCGGUUGAUCCCGCCGGACCCGACUGCUAUUUGGGUGAGAAUAAGCCAUGCGAGUUGUAUGGAAUACCUAAAUUUUCCAUAGCAAACUGCUCAGUAACACAUGAUCAACUUACCCUAUAGAGAAAAAUAACCUCGGGAAACUGAGGAUAAUGUUUCAUAGUUGAAAAGGCUUGGGAAAGUUUUUCAAUCAAAAGGAUAAGAAAAAUGGUUCUUCUCCGCUAUAGGAUAGGAUCGUGGUCGAUUAUGGUUGUUGGUGAGGUAAUGGCUCACCAAGCCGAUAAUCGAUAGGGGCCGUGAGAGCGGGAGCCCCGAGAUGGGUACUGAGACAACGACCCAGGCCUUACGAGGCGCAGCAGGCGCGAAACCUCCGCAAUACACGAAAGUGUGACGGGGUUACCCAAAGUGUUCAGUUUUGAACUGUGGUAGGUGAGUAAUGUCCCCUACUAGAAAGGAGAGGGCAAGGCUGGUGCCAGCCGCCGCGGUAAAACCAGCUCUUCAAGUGGUCGGGAUAAUUAUUGGGCUUAAAGUGUCCGUAGCCGGUUUAGUAAGUUCCUGGUAAAAUCGGGUAGCUUAACUAUCUGUAUGCUAGGAAUACUGCUAAACUAGAGGGCGGGAGAGGUCUGAGGUACUACAGGGGUAGGGGUGAAAUCUUAUAAUCCUUGUAGGACCACCAGUGGCGAAGGCGUCAGACUGGAACGUGCCUGACGGUGAGGGACGAAAGCCAGGGGAGCGAACCGGAUUAGAUACCCGGGUAGUCCUGGCCGUAAACGAUGCAUACUAGGUGAUGGCAUGGCCAUGAGCCGUGUCAGUGCCGUAGGGAAACCGUUAAGUAUGCCGCCUGGGAAGUACGGUCGCAAGGCUAAAACUUAAAGGAAUUGGCGGGGGAGCACCACAAGGGGUGAAGCCUGCGGUUCAAUUGGAUUCAACGCCGGG
rnacentral:rRNA from 1 species